rnacentral:rRNA from 1 species
GGGAUAACUACUGAAACGGUAGCUAAUACCGCAUAACGUCGCAAGACCAAAGAGGGGGACCUUCGGGCCUCUUGCCAUCAGAUGUGCCCAGAUGGGAUUAGCUAGUAGGUGGGGUAACGGCUCACCUAGGCGACGAUCCCUAGCUGGUCUGAGAGGAUGACCAGCCACACUGGAACUGAGACACGGUCCAG